GAGAUGGCGACCGGCGCACGGGUGAGUAACACGUAUCCAACCUGCCGAUAACUCGGGGAUAGCCUUUCGAAAGAAAGAUUAAUACCCGAUAGUAUAAUCAGACCGCAUGGUCUUGUUAUUAAAGAAUUUCGGUUAUCGAUGGGGAUGCGUUCCAUUAGGCAGUUGGUGAGGUAACGGCUCACCAAACCUUCGAUGGAUAGGGGUUCUGAGAGGAAGGUCCCCCACAUUGGAACUGAGACACGGUCCAAACUCCUACGGGAGGCAGCAGUGAGGAAUAUUGGUCAAUGGGCGCAGGCCUGAACCAGCCAAGUAGCGUGAAGGAUGACUGCCCUAUGGGUUGUAAACUUCUUUUAUAUGGGAAUAAAGUUUUCCACGUGUGGAAUUUUGUAUGUACCAUAUGAAUAAGGAUCGGCUAACUCCGUGCCAGCAGCCGCGGUAAUACGGAGGAUCCGAGCGUUAUCCGGAUUUAUUGGGUUUAAAGGGAGCGUAGGUGGACAGUUAAGUCAGUUGUGAAAGUUUGCGGCUCAACCGUAAAAUUGCAGUUGAUACUGGCUGUC
rnacentral:rRNA from 1 species